GGACUACUGGGGUUUCUAAUCCGGUUUGCUCCCCCAGCUUUCAUCCCUCACCGUCGAACGUGUUCUGGUAGACCGCCUUCGCCACAGGUGGUCAUCAAUAGAUCAAAGGAUUUUACCCCUUCCUACCGAGUACCGUCUACCUCUCCCACUUCCUAGUUAUGCAGUAUUCCCGGCAGCCCAUACGUUAAGCGUAUGGAUUUAACCGAAAACUUACAAAACGAGCUACGGAUGCUUUAGGCCCAAUAAUCAUCCUGACCACUUGAGGUGCUGGUUUUACCGCGGCGGCUGGCAC
rnacentral:misc_RNA from 1 species